GACGAACACUGGCGGCGUGCUUAACACAUGCAAGUCGAGCGGUAAGGCCCUUUCGGGGGUACACGAGCGGCGAACGGGUGAGUAACAAGUGGGUGACCUGCCCUCAGCUCUGGGAUAAGCCUGGGAAACCGGGUCUAAUACUGGAUAUGACUCCAUGACGCAUGUUGUGGGGUGGAAAGCCUUGUGCGGCUGAGGAUGGGCCCGCGGUCUAUCAGCUUGUUGGUGGGUGAUGGCCUACCAAGGCGA
rnacentral:rRNA from 1 species